GUAUGUCUGUUCCUAAAUAAUAUUUUUUACAUAAUUAUAUGACAUUUUUGAUAAAGAUCUUAAUAAUUUUUAAAGCUACAUCCGAAUGCGAGCGUAAUAUAAAUCACUAUGAUUUAAAUAAUUAUUCUAGCACUGUCAAAUAUAUUAUAAAAGAUAUUUUUUUUAUAAAACAAUGCGUUCUGUUCGCAUUUAGGCAUUGUGUUAAUAUAGCAUUAUGAAGUUCUACAUAUUUACUAUUUUUGCUGCAUGUGUGUUCAUUCUGGUGUCGAAUAUCGAGAGUUUAAGAUCAUUCAAGUUCGUUAAAUCGAAGAAUUUAAUGGGAAAUCACUUUGGAAAAAUAGACACUGAAGCGAAUUGUUUUGGAAGACGUCUACCACCAAGACCACCACCACAACCUACUUCAACAACUACUGAAGCAGCAGAUGAAUAAGAUAUAAUGCUGUAAUGUAAUGUUAGAAAUAAAGCUAUAAUAGUAC